rnacentral:lncRNA from 1 species
UCAUCCUUUCAUACUGUAUAUACGUACCCUCAUUUAUAACACUGUGUUCGUUCUUCUUGUAUAUAAGCUUCGUGCUAUAACGUUCAGAAAUGUAGCCAAACUUUGAAGUGUAUUUCGAGUGUUGGCUACAUAGUUAAAGUUCUGCUUUUGGCGAUAUUUUUAAUCAAGUUAACAAGUAACUUCAUAACAUUGUAACUGAAGAUUCAUAUUGUAAAAUAAAAACCAAAUGUUGUGUCAGCAUAAAAUAAAUUUGGUUGUCCAUUAUUUCAUAUUAUAUAAUUGUUUUAUAAUUUCUUUCUCUCUUUUUUUUAUAUUUUAAAUAGAAAAAUAUACAAACAGUUCUAAUUUUCUAGGAAAGAUUCCAACUUAACUUUUCGUUGCAUUAGACCAUUGGCAUUCCAAAAAGCAAUACGUAAAGUUUUCAUUAUUCGAUGACAGAUGACAAUUUAUUUACUAUUACUGUUAAUAGAGAGAGAAGGUUAUUUAUUUGUUCAGUUUGUUUGUCGCUUGUCCAUAAGAAACUGUUGAAUCGAUGAAACGUUAGUUAUUUCCUACUUGGUUGGUCCGUAAGUUUGAUUGAAUGUUUGGAUUUUUUCUUAGUCUGGGUCUUGGGAACCUUUUUUUUGAGCAAUUCUUGAUAACUAGGGCAUGAUAGUUCGCGCUAUAGUGGUUGCCAUAUAGAAGACAAGUUGAUGGAGUUUCAACAGAUUUUUUGCAUUCCAUAGUUGGCUGUGUACUCGUACAUUUGACACACUAAUAUUGGUGAUUGCAAUACUUCUGAGUGUGACCGUAUUUUUAGCAUGUUUUGCAUUAAACUUUUUUUUUUUUAGAAAUGGUUCAAUUUUAACUAUAGUAUGAUUUAGACGACUUAUAUAAUAUACUGUAUUAUUGUUUGGUUUUUGCUUCAAGUCGAUAUAGAACAUUGACAAUGGGUUAAUAUUAUUUAUAUUAAUUAUUUCAUCCUCAAGCUCUCUUGAAGUUUGUCUUUUAGGUCAUCAAGAUCAAGAGAGUGAUGAACAUUGUGCAGAACACACGAAACAAUCGUUCUUGUUUCAAUUGAAACAUAUGAAAACUAACAUUAGAAGAUUUUAAUAAUCUUGUAAUUUUUCUACAGGUCUCGGAGUCAGUUGGUAUGACACGAACAUGAUUAUUAUUAACUUUAAAUUUAUAGCUUUCUUUUUUAACCACUUCAUCCAAACAUCUUGUUAAGGAUUGCAUCUCGAUUACUUCGCCUUUAUAGAUUGGCGGGGGUACUUUUGAUGAUGGUUGAUUUUCUGGCAUAUCUAUAUCCAUACUUGAAUUUAAAAUCGAGAAUCAGUUAGCGAUUGAUACUACUUCUACUUGUCAUGGAUGCCCAUUAUUACUGCUGUCGUCUUCUCUUGGUCUUUUUUUGCUGAUUAGUGUAGUUACACGUCUGGGAGAAAUAAUUAUUUACCGUGGUGGAAACAAAUUUGAUGUUGGCAUAUCCUGGUCAAAGAUAUGCAAGAGGCUUAUCUCUAUUUACCUGACUGAUUUGAAAGGUAUUAACUCUAAUGGUUUGCUAUCGUAUUUAUCCUCAAUAUUCACAAUAUAAACAAUAUAAAUACUCAAA